UAUGCUGGAGGGGUGCUGGUCAGCUGUGUCUCUGGCCAGAACACCUACAGGUCUGGGUGUUGACCUGUACGCUGAGUUCCUGGCUUGACCUCAGAACCCUCCUGUCACUGUGUACAUCUGUUGUUUGCUGGGGUGUGUUUGACCCUGGUUGCCAUCACUGGACCUGGUUCUGACCAGUGGGUUGGCUUCUAGCUUGACCUUGGAUCUGCCUCAUCCCCAUGGACUUUCCUUAUGACCUGACUGAAGACCUGGGCUCAUGAUUGAACUUGACUGCUGUCUCUGGACCUGCUCUGCUGGCUGUGUUGCUGUGUGGGGCUUGCUGGCCCUUUGGGGGCUUCUGUGUGCUGACCCCCCUUUUCUUUGCCAGGCAGACCUUGGAGCAGUAAAGACUUCUAGGUAUUCUGUAUGAAAUUCCCAUUUCUCUGAAGCCCUUUGAGCUUUGCUUCUAAAUCUAAUGGAUAUAUCUAGAAGAGAUGGAGUCCCCAGAUAACCAAACUUUAGCUUAAUCCCAAAGCAGUACCACUUCUUUUUUUGGAAUAAGCCUCACUAGAGGAAUUCAUCAUGUUCCUUCAAUAACUUGCAAGAUGCAGGAGGCAGUGUUGAGCUGCUGUGAGCAGGAGAGCCAGAGCCUUGCUUAGAGUGGCAGGUUUCCAAACCACUUUGUAUGCUGUGUAUUUGGGAUUUGAAAAGAGGGAGGAAUUUUUCUUUUCCAGUGCUUCCUGAGAACAUCGCAUGCAUCAUAUAUUUCAGGCCCUGAGUCCAACCCAGAUGAUGUGUGAGCAGUGUCCCUGAGCUCAGCAGGGACUCAGUGCCCAGUAAGUGAUGCUGUGAUGUUUCCUUACAAGAACAGUAUUACCUUACAGAGGCUAAUCUUCCUUGGCCUACAGAAAGAGGAAUGCUGAGAGUGAUCUGGAGCAGGAGCUGGUUUUCAGGACAUCUUCCCUCUCCAUCAGCUGUAGGACAUGAGAGAACAGCCACCUGUGGAAGUGGUAACUGAGCCUGCUGUACGUGCUGAUGUGGACUUGGCAGCUUCCCAUGUGACUGAGGAGGAAUGAACCGCCUCUCAGUUGUCUUGUUGCAAGUGUUGGGCUGAAGAUGCUGAAUGCUACCUGCAUCAAGGACCUCUGCAAGGAUCCUUUGCUGUGGCCAGAAACCUUUGUAUGGGAAUGAGUGCAUGUGUCCAUCCGUCUCUGAAUGUUUUGCUUGGAUUUUGCACGUUUCUUUCUACUUCAAUCAGCCAUUCUCAGUAAGUCUAAAUUGAAUGCAGCUUGUACGUGUACUUUGGGCAGCAUGGCCGUAAACAAAAUGGGGUGAUUUGCUGCUGGAAAUGCUGGCUGGGGCACUUUUAGGGCUAUGGGGGUCAACUCUGCUAACAGUGCCAACUUUCACACUGUCCUUCCCCUUUCUCCCUCUUCCUCAUCUCAGUUUACAUCAUAUGGCCUUUGACUUACUGAGAAAUAUUACUUGUUUUUUGUGUUGGUUUUUUUUUUUGGAAAAUUUUCUCACUAAUGGUCACCCAGGGGAGGUGUUGUAGGGUAAAUAUAUCUGUUUUAUUUUGAGGAAAUUUGCAUAGGCAACCAUAAUACUUGCAUUUCUGAGAGUCUGUCUUCUUACCUAGCUUGCCAUUUGCACACAGGGCUCCUGAGACUCUCUGGUAGCUCCUGCACAUGCAAAAUGUGUUUUGUUGAGCGAACAUCAAUGCUUUGUGGAUGUGAACUUGUAUAUACAAAAUCAUGACUUAAAAGGAGGGAUACCACUGAGAUUUGAGGGUCUAUCCAUUCCUCACAUCACAAAGCCCUAAAAGUGGCCUUGGAAAUCAAGGCUGGCAGAAGUGAUAACACAAGAUUUUUUAUUUUAUUUUUUUCUAACCAGCAAAGGAUGGGAGGGUGGAAAUCAAAAGGUGAUCUUCGGUAAAUUUAGCAGUUGUUCACAGUGGAAUAUAGCAAGCUUGGUGCCACAUGAGAGCUGCACUGACAUCAGCCCACACCAAAGUUCUUCCAACGACAUCAGUGUUGAAUUUCAUUCAGGACGUAGUACCUGAAUAACUGAUGGUAGGCCAAGGGGCUUCCCCACUACCUGCCACUUUUAUUAGGUUGCUUAUGCUUCUGUUGUGCAGGCUUGCAGGCAGCUCCCUGCAGAGCACAAAGAGAAGAACAAAUAUCUGUUCUGGGGGUUUCUGUUCUUCUGACCUGUAAGAGUAAAUGAAAGAGCAUGAUGCACAGCAGAUGAGGGAAAAGCGGUAAAUCCACCAGUUUUAGUAUUACUUCUCACUUUCUUUGUUGCAGGAGAAUUUUGGAACGCUUUUGGUCUCUUUUGCUGAUGUGAAACUUAACUGCUUCACUGGGGCUGGGGGUGAACUACUACCCUUGCAAAUGCAUAUGUAAAAUUGCGGGCACAGAUGCCGAGCUCAUUUGCACAUUGCAGUUUCCUGGGCAGCCUGUGCAAACAUCUGAUCUGUGCGUGUAGCUGAGCUGUGAGCAGCAUUAUACCUGACUUCUCAUUGUAUGGGUUCUCUCUACAACUAGAAAGUCAGCAAAAGCCCUGCAAGUGCACAGCUCACGAUUUUCCUGCUGCCUCCCAUUAUGUUACACGUAAGCACGGAUUUUGUUUCCUUUGCUCUUCUGUUGCAAUCACUCCAUUUAUAACCCCUGGCGUGCUUUGUUUUAUAAUACCCUAAUCCUUGCAGGCUUCUGCUCCACUUUUCCUCCAGGGAGCCUGAAUUGAACCCUUCAGCUACCUAUGGAAAUUGCACACCUGCUUCUUGGUGCUCCUUGCCAAGUGCUGUAACAUUGCUUCCUCUCAUCAGCCAUUUCUGGCACAGGACUUGAAAUCUCUCCUAAAGUGCAUCUUUGCUCAGUUGGAAAACCCUCAUAGGUUUUGGACACAGGUUUGUAUGGCAUCUGAUAUCACGAAACACCUAGAACCGUUUUUUCCAUCCCUUUGCAUCGACCAGUAACUGACACACACGUUCCUGCCUGUAGGAUCAUUAUCCUCUGUCUGCCCCCACAACAGCCUCAUCAGUCAGGGUUAGCCUUGCAACCAUUAAGGAAACUUUAACAAAGCCUGUUCUGCUGAAAGCGAACAUCUUGAUGAGGCCCAAUUUAUUUCACAGUUGUUAUCCUGCUGACCUAAAAUGACAGCAUGACACUUGGAGCGGUGCCUGGUUUAUUUAAGAAGCAAGCACAGAAUUGUGUCUUGUGGCCUGCAGAAGGAACGGAGCUGCACGAGGUGCUCCCAGCUCCUGGUCCUAGCAGCUCCCGCCCCCAGAAUCUCACUGUGGCUUUUCUCAGGGCCAGUCCAGAUGGCGUUGCUUUUAGCUGUUUUUAAUAGUUCCAGUCUGUGCUUCACACAUCCCUUCAGGAGCACGCAGAGGGCUGGGAGGGCAUUCCGUGGUGACCCAGGAUGACAUGUCUGCUGUUUGGGGCAGUGCCUGGGCUCCCUGGGGACUGAGACUUGCCCAGUAGCACAGUCCCGGCCAUCGUUGAGACCCUGCCUGCAGCUGUCUGAUGGACCACAUUCCUCUGGUCAUGGCGUGCUUGGUCCUCAGGGUCUGCCACAGAGAGAGAUGGGGCACGGUGCAAGGACAAGGGGCUGGAGUUGCAGGCUGCAGCGUGGGGAAAUCCAUCUGUUUUUUAAGAGAAAAAUUGCAAUGAGGAAAGAGUGGAACAGUGCUCAGGGCGGUCGUGUGAUCUCCAGCCUUGGAGAUCCUUAAAACUCACCUGGGUAAGGCCCAGAGCAAGCCCAUCAAAUUUUGAAGCCAGAGGUUGGACUAAAGCUCUGCAAAUAUCCCUCCCAAAUGAAGGUGCUCCAUGAAAAAGGAGUUAAACGUGUGCCGUGCACUUCAGCUCAAAUUCUGGAUCAGCUUCCCAGCUGCUUUUGUCCUGGGAAAUGAGAUGGGCUUGUCUUCCUAUGAGAUUAAGCUCUUGUGAGAGUUCCUGCUUUUACAAAAGACUGAAGUGUUUUCUUAUCUUAAAUAAAGUGGUUAUUUUCCUAGCUUUAUUGGGAUUAAUCUAUCCACUGCAACAUCUAUUGUCAAGCUAGCUGCUGUACAAUUUGCACAGGAAAAGCCCAUGUCAGUCUAGCAGAAGGGACACCUUCCAUGCUUUUGUCUGGUAGCGGCAGCUUUUAGACACAAGUGAGAGCCGGGAGGGUGAUCUGAGAUCCACCACAAUUAGGAGCCCUUUGGGAGCAUAAAACGUCAUUGUGCUGCGGUGCUAGCUUCACAUUAGCUUCACAUUUCCUGGAUCCUGCUUAAUUCUCUCUCAUCUCCAGGCCCCCUGUGGUCAUUCUCAUGUUUUUGUAGGUCUUUGAAACCUCCUGUAGUCUUCAAAUAAUUCAUGCCAUCUUCCAGCCUCAGAGUUUUCAUCUGAGUGUCCCCAGAUCAAGAUAAGAUGUGAGAAGUUCAAUGUCACAAAGGCAAAGAAAAUGCUGUGUGCAAGGCCCCGUGCUGGGGAAUGGCGCUGAGAGAUGUUGCUUGCUGGUUUUACUUGUGCUGCCCCUCAUGGGGGGCUACUCCAGCCCUUCUGGGCUCUGAGAGCCCUUCUGAGCUCUGGAGAUGUUCCCCUUGUUUCCAGCACCAAGACCUCAGCACCACGCACGGUGUCAGCCUGAAGUUUCCUCAGGCCAUAGCAGAGCUCACAGCCCCACUGCUGUCACCCAGCAGGGUCUCACAAGAAGAAGCAUGUUUGCUUGAUUAAGGGAGCUGGAGAAGGCACGAGAAGCCACGUAAUUUGUAUAGUGGACACCAGGAACUGCAGGAAUCUUGACUAAUUUGUGUGGCUGGCUUUGGCCUUAGAUAAGAUGGUACAAACCCAUUACAGGAGACAAAGCAAAGAGCUGUGUGCACAGAGGAAAACUGAGGAUCACUGGGAUCGAGAGCUUAAAGAUCGUGUUUGUGAAUGCAGGGUCCAAGCGUUGGCUGUGAUAUAUUAAAGGUGCCAUGUGAAUGCCUCAGGCUUUCAGCUUGUUUUAUCCCUUCCCAUACCUAUAGGGGGCUACAGGAGAGCUGGGGAGGGAUUCUUUGUUGGGAGUGACAGGACAAAGGGGAAUGGCUUUAAACUAAAAGUGGGUAGGUUUAGAUCAGACAUUAGGACGAAAUUCUUCCCUCAGAGGGCGGUGAGGCCCUGGCCCAGGCUGCCCCGGGGAGCUGUGGGUGCCCCAUCCCUGGAGGUGCCCGAGGCCAGGCUGGAUGGG